UGACUCCUGCGUCGUGCUCUGCCUGACCCCUGCGCCAUGCCGCGUCUCGUCUAAGGCAGCAGGAGCGUGCGGCAUGGCCGCGUGGGUGCCCCAACCCAUAGGUCUCCUUGCUCCUCCCUUCCGCCCCCUCCCCCUCUGCAGCCCCAGGAGCUCUGCCGUCGAUGAGAUCCAGUGCCUCCCGAGGUCCUUAUCCACCACAGCUCGUGAGGAAGCCGCGGGAGGAGGAGAUCAACCGGGCAUUUGCCGGCCGGAGAAGGAGGAAAUGCGCAGAUGCCAGCCAGGGAGGCAGAUCGACUCGCCUCCGCUGCGCCAUGAGCGCCGCCGCCGCCUCUGCAUCCACCUUGCUCCGCGUAGCAGCAUGUGUGCGGAAGCAUGGACAGGCGACCACAAGCAAAUGGCAUCGGCGGCAACAGCAACACACACGGUGUGAUGGGCGCGGCCUGCCCGUAGGCAUUCAAGGAUGGCGUGCCCGAUGGCUCGGAACGCAUGCGCCCGACGCACAGGAGGUAUAUGCCUCGGAGCACGCCGGCGGCAACGUGCACCGCGAGGUCCCAGAGCAGCCCAGCCAGUACAGAGCCCCUCCAUACUGGACGGACCCUGCGACUCCAUCCUCGCCUCCACUCACAGGUCUAUGCCGAUUUCCACAACAACACUGCCUUCAACUUUCUCAUUUCCCCGGCUCUGCAUACAAGGUGCAAACUAGGAGGGAGAUGGCUUUGCCAGGUCAUCAACGCCCAUCGGCAACUUCCGGUAGGCGCCGUCCCAUUCUUCCUCCCCUUACUCCGAUGCCUUCAUGGCCAAAAUCAUUAGCAGCAGCAAGAAGGUUAAGCACCAACUAUGGUUAAAAGCUUUGUCUCUUUUGUGUACUAUCCAUGAAGAUCUGACUUUGCUGGUCAGAUCAGAAAUUCAAGUAAUACGACUAUUGCGAUGCAUCUUCCUACGCGUGUGUAUUUAUUUGCAUUAUCAAUAUUUUCCUCCAAAUAAUUUGUUGGUCAUAAAUUAUUUUGCAUUAUUGAUGAUUAAUUUGAAAUUGAAAUGACAACAUGGCCGGGUUUUAUAAGUGUAAUGGGUUCAAGUGUGACCUUCCAGUCAAGAAAUGUCCUCAGCAAGAAGCUUAUGUGAAGAUCCCUUUUCCACUUUGAAUGAAUUUACUGUAUAUAUCUCUUAUUUAGUUUAGUUCAUCAUUCAUAGAUGCAUGGUGGAAUAUUUUUGUCCUUCACAGGUUAAAUGAGCAUUGCGUAAAAGUCUGUCUAAGUCUCUUUCUUAUUCUUCUAUAAACUGGAAGGCAAAUAUAGAUUUCUCACGCAUAGUUUAUCAAUCAUGAUCUCACCUCCUUUCUAUAUGCAGACAGUGUGGUGCUCACUGGGGAUGCUUGCAGAUUGGUAGUGGAUGUGUGCAGUGAUGGAGGGUUAUGUCCCAUGGGUGAUAGGCAUGGUGAUGUUCACCACUGAUGAAUCAACAAGUGUUCUCCAAAAGGAUGAAGGUGAAUAUCAAGGGCACCGCUCUUUGAUGAUGCGCACCCAUGGUUUGUUCACCACAAUGCAAUGACAAGAUGUUCUCGAUGGUAGAACAAAAGAAGUGGAACAAAUGGGUUUAACUUGUAUGCCUACUCCUGUUGCGAUAAGCAUUUGGUUUCCAUCUGCAAGACAAGUUUCUGCUUGUGUAACAACAGUACUGUCUGGGUCGUCCAGUUUUUAGCUAUCAUUUGUUCUAGAAUCAUCCUGACCAUUGGGUUCCUCGUGUUCUCCUUGGUGGUUCUGUACAUUGUCUCAAGACGCAUUGGCCUGUUGAUACUGCAAAGGAAGCUGGCUGAUGCUAGAGAUCAGGCUCAGUAUCAGCUGAAGACAUCUUGGAAAAAGUACAGGAGGGACCUGCUCAAACAAAUGCUCCUCCCAUCUAUGAUGAACUGUGAUUUUACUUUCAUCAAUUGUUUAUACAUGAGCUUACAUCCAGAAGCAAGCUUACCUCUUAGAGUUCUUAUUUCUUAGUACAUGUUGUCUAAAGUAAAAUUUUCCCAAAAAGGCUAUUACUGGUGCGUUAACCUACUGCUGGAAUUGAGCUGAAAUUGAAGUAUGCUUUAUAUUGUAUCCAUCAAGCAUAAA